rnacentral:lncRNA from 1 species
GUCGUCAAAAAAUCUUCUGAGCGUUCUAAAGACAUCGCUGUUGCUACACAUGAUGCGCAAUCCUCCAGUAUUGGUGCUUUUGGUAAAGAAAGUGCCUUCACCAAUAAGAGUUUUGAUCUGGUUAAUUGUCUGUAAGAUAUUUUCAACUUUUGGAAUGACUAUGGGUGGCGGCUUAGCAACGCGAGGGUUGUUACUAAGUGAGAUUGGUGGGGGCCCUGACUGGGCUUCUGCAGUGCGUGUUGCAUGAGCGGCAGUACUGGAACUGUUUGUUGCUGGCAUUGUUGAAUCAUCAGGAAUGGCGUCUAGUGUGUCCAUACUCAUCACGUCCUCAUCCAGUUGUUGAAUAAGGUCUGGAUCUAGAUCACUGUAAUAAUUCUGCUUCAGGCUGGAAGCAGCAAUUUUUUUGUUCGUCGGGUGGAG